rnacentral:rRNA from 1 species
AAGUCGAACGGUAACAGGAAGNAGCUUGCUNNUUNGCUGACGAGUGGCGGACGGGUGAGUAAUGUCUGGGAAACUGCCUGAUGGAGGGGGAUAACUACUGGAAACGGUAGCUAAUACCGCAUAACGUCGCAAGACCAAAGAGGGGGACCUUCGGGCCUCUUGCCAUCGGAUGUGCCCAGAUGGGAUUAGCUNGUAGGUGGGGUAACGGCUCACCUAGGCGACGAUCCCUAGCUGGUCUGAGAGGAUGACCAGCCACACUGGAACUGAGACACGGUCCAGACUCCUACGGGAGGCAGCAGUGGGGAAUAUUGCACAAUGGGCGCAAGCCUGAUGCAGCCAUGCCGCGUGUAUGAAGAAGGCCUUCGGGUUGUAAAGUACUUUCAGCGGGGAGGAAGGGAGUAAAGUUAAUACCU